rnacentral:tRNA from 1 species
GGGGGAUUGGCGCAAUGGUAAGACCGACCGAUUGUAUAACCAUCUCCGACACACAUACUUACAGCAAACCAGGUAGCGCGUUAGUUUUCGGUCCUUCUGAAAUACACUAAAGGUUGUGGGUUCGAGCCCCAUGUCCCUCG